CCUACGGGGGGCAGCAGUGGGGAAUAUUGGACAAUGGGGGGAACCCUGAUCCAGCCAUGCCGCGUGUGUGAAGAAGGCCCUCGGGUUGUAAAGCACUUUCAGUGAGGAAGAACGCCUGGUGGUUAAUACCCAUCAGGAAAGACAUCACUCACAGAAGAAGCACCGGCUGACUCCGUGCCAGCAGCCGCGGUAAUACGGAGGGUGCGAGCGUUAAUCGGAAUUACUGGGCGUAAAGCGCGCGUAGGUGGCUUGAUAAGCCGGUUGUGAAAGCCCCGGGCUCAACCUGGGAACGGCAUCCGGAACUGUCAAGCUAGAGUGCAGGAGAGGAAGGUAGAAUUCCCGGUGUAGCGGUGAAAUGCGUAGAGAUCGGGAGGAAUACCAGUGGCGAAGGCGGCCUUCUGGACUGACACUGACACUGAGGUGCGAAAGCGUGGGUAGCAAACAGGAUUAGAUACCCUAGUAGUC
rnacentral:rRNA from 1 species